AUGUCUCCUGUUACUUUGUAUUUAUUCCUCACAGCUGCAGCUCUGUUAACCGGACAUUGUAGAGGAGACUCCGUUUCACAGACACCGUUUGCAGUCACAGCCAGUGAAGGAGACGAUGUUCAAUUAUUCUGUAAUUAUACAGCUACAAGCACCAGCGAUCCCUCUCUGUUCUGGUACCAUCAGUAUCCCAGCGGAUCCAUGGAGUAUCUGCUGUGGAGAAGCAGAUACAGUGGGAACACAGAAAGAGUUGCGGGAAACCGUUUUUCAGCGGAGCUUGAUUAUGUGAAUCGCACCGUCCCGCUGAUACUGUCUAAAACAGAACUGAGAGACUCCGCGGUGUAUUACUGCGCACUGAGACCCACAGAGACACAGAACGGGGUUGAACCUGUGCAAAAACUGUCAGAGCGACACCCAUCAUAA